AAUACUGUUUGAUCCUGGCUCAGAUUGAACGCUGGCGGCAUGCCUAACACAUGCAAGUCGAACGGCAGCAUGGUCUAGCUUGCUAGACUGAUGGCGAGUGGCGGACGGGUGAGUAACGCGUAGGAAUAUACCUUAAAGAGGGGGAUAACUUGGGGAAACUCAAGCUAAUACCGCAUAAUCUCUGAGGAGAGAAGCUGGGGACCGAAAGGCCUGGCGCUUUAAGAUUAGCCUGCGUCCGAUUAGCUAGUUGGUGGGGUAAGGGCCUACCAAGGCGACGAUCGGUAGCUGGUCUGAGAGGAUGGCCAGCCACACUGGGACUGAGACACGGCCCAGACUCCUACGGGAGGCAGCAGUGGGGAAUAUUGGACAAUGGGGGCAACCCUGAUCCAGCAAUGCCGCGUGUGUGAAGAAGGCCUGAGGGUUGUAAAGCACUUUCAGUGGAGAGGAGAGUAUGCAGGUUAAGAGCUAGCAGAUGAGACGUUACCCACAGAAGAAGCACCGGCUAACUCCGUGCCAGCAGCCGCGGUAAUACGGAGGGUGCGAGCGUUAAUCGGAAUUACUGGGCGUAAAGGGUGCGUAGGUGGUUUAUUAAGUUAUCUGUGAAAUCCCCGGGCUUAACCUGGGCAGGUCAGAUGAUACUGAU
rnacentral:rRNA from 1 species